AGGACGAACGCUGGCGGCGUGCUUAACACAUGCAAGUCGAGCGGUAAGGCCUUUCGGGGUACACGAGCGGCGAACGGGUGAGUAACACGUGGGUGAUCUGCCCUGCACUUCGGGAUAAGCCUGGGAAACUGGGUCUAAUACCGGAUAUGACCUCCUAUCGCAUGGUGGGUGGUGGAAAGAUUUUAUCGGUGCAGGAUGGGCCCGCGGCCUAUCAGCUUGUUGGUGGGGUAAUGGCCUACCAAGGCGACGACGGGUAGCCGACCUGAGAGGGUGACCGGCCACACUGGGACUGAGACACGGCCCAGACUCCUACGGGAGGCAGCAGUGGGGAAUUUGGACAAGUGGGACGAAAGGCCUAGAUCCAGCAAUGCCGCGUGCGAGGAAGAAGGCCGUUGGGUUAGUAACGUGUCUUUUCGGUACGAACGAAAAGGUCUACUUUACUAA
rnacentral:rRNA from 1 species